rnacentral:rRNA from 1 species
GGAUCCAGACUUUGAUUCUGGCUCAGGAUGAACGCUAGCUACAGGCUUAACACAUGCAAGUCGAGGGGAAACGACAUCGAAAGCUUGCUUUUGAUGGGCGUCGACCGGCGCACGGGUGAGUAACGCGUAUCCAACCUGCCCACCACUUGGGGAUAACCUUGCGAAAGUAAGACUAAUACCCAAUGACGUCUCUAGAAGACAUCUGAAAGAGAUUAAAGAUUUAUCGGUGAUGGAUGGGGAUGCGUCUGAUUAGCUUGUUGGCGGGGUAACGGCCCACCAAGGCAACGAUCAGUAGGGGUUCUGAGAGGAAGGUCCCCCACAUUGGAACUGAGACACGGUCCAAACUCCUACGGGAGGCAGCAGUGAGGAAUAUUGGUCAAUGGACGAGAGUCUGAACCAGCCAAGUAGCGUGCAGGAUGACGGCCCUAUGGGUUGUAGACUGCUUUUAUAAGGGAAUAAAGUGAGUCUCGUGAGACUUUUUGCAUGUACCUUAUGAAUAAGGACCGGCUAAUUCCGUGCCAGCAGCCGCGGUAAUACGGAAGGUCCGGGCGUUAUCCGGAUUUAUUGGGUUUAAAGGGAGCGUAGGCCGGAGAUUAAGCGUGUUGUGAAAUGUAGACGCUUAACGUCUGCACUGCAGCGCGAACUGGUUUCCUUGAGUACGCACAAAGUGGGCGGAAUUCGUGGUGUAGCGGUGAAAUGCUUAGAUAUCACGAAGAACUCCGAUUGCGAAGGCAGCUCACUGGAGCGCAACUGACGCUGAAGCUCGAAAGUGCGGGUAUCGAACAGGAUUAGAUACCCUGGUAGUCCGCACGGUAAACGAUGGAUGCCCGCUGUUGGUCUGAAUAGGUCAGCGGCCAAGCGAAAGCAUUAAGCAUCCCACCUGGGGAGUACGCCGGCAACGGUGCAACUCAAAUGAAUUGACGG